UGUCUAAGCCCUCUUGUUAGGCUUGUGAAAGAGUUAAGAGUGUGUGCAGUGGAGUUUUCCGCCAAAAAAAAAAAAGAACAACACCCAAAACCUAGAAGUAAACCCGAUCGAGUUCCCUCCCUUACCUAAAACUGUGCUCUCGGCCGCCUCCCUCCGACUCAACACUAGGUCUCAAAACUCAAUCACCAUCUGAGAAUUGAGAAUCACUCCUGCAGCUGAGAAUCACUCAACCUAGAAGUAAACCCGACACCAUCUGAGGCUCAGUCCCGCCGCCGCGACUCCCUCUGAGGCUCAGUCCCGCCGCGACUCCGUCUGAGGCUCAGUCCCGCCGCGACUCCGUCUGAGGCUCAGUCCCGCCGCGACUCCCUCUGAGGCUCAGUCCCGCCGCGACUCCCUCAGUCCCUCACCAUGACUCCUUCUGUCCCUCGCCACGACGCCAUGGCUACUCUCUGAGGCUCAAACGCCCAGUCCCACCGCGACUCCAUCGAGCCACCUCCACCUCUCCACACGGCCACGCCUCCUCCUGUUUCUAGAGCCCAAGUUCUGUUCAGCGGGUUUUUCUUACUCGAUCUCAGGAGCAACUGGAGUUCAAGAAAAAUGUGUUUUGCAAGCUUGACUUUCCUUUCUCAGAUCAGACAUGGCACCGCCAAACAAUGGAUAUCCAAUCCAUGCCAGUUGGUUUCUAUAUAUAUGCAUGCAUUCUGUAAGUCCAGGUCAAUAACACAUGUUUUAGUAAAUGCAGAUAAUAAAUAUAUAUCUCUCGAGCUCCCUUCUUCCCCAAUUUUAGCAUAAUCAACUAGCUGAGCACCAUCUGUACGUUUCGAAUCAGUUUGGAGCUAUCUGCAGAAAAGGAAAGUACAUACUGUGUUGCUGAAUCAGUCAGGGAUAUGAACCUAUAAGGCAGAUAUAUAAUAAUCAUCAACAUGGGAAAUUCCAGCUCCAUUAAGCAUAGCAGUGAAGGAGGAAGAUUGAAGCACUCGAAGAGAAAGCACAACCGGCUGGGUGUAACUUGUUCUGCAGGUUAUGAUCAUGAUUAUCAUGAAGGAAUAAAGAGUGUAAGAGCGGACAACCACGUUUGUGAUUUCUCUCCUUAUUCGGAUCUAUGCAUUUGCGUGGUUACUUGGAACAUGAAUGGUCAAGUGAGUUACGGAGAUUUGGAGGAGAUGGUUGCCGGGAACAACCGCAAGUUCGAUCUUCUGGUUAUCGGUCUGCAAGAAGUGCCCCGGAAAAAUAUUUCACGACUGUUGCAGACAGCGCUUCUUGACUCUCACAUCUUGUUAGGAAAAGCCACUAUGCAAUCAAUACACCUGUAUAUCUUUGGGCCAAAGGGCUCAGAUUUCUUCCUCAGAGAAAUAAAGAUCGAUAAGGUUUCAGUAGGGGGAUGUGGAGGGCUAAUUGGGAGAAAGAAAGGAGCUGUGGGAAAUUGAUGUCAAGCUGUUGUAUACAUUUUGACAGUACAAAUGGACUUUUGGAAGCCAUCUCCAAUGUCAAACAGUUGUCUCUUUCAACUCGUAAUUUGGAGAAAAUCCUUAUCUGCCAUUACCCCCUUUAUGUGCGAAACCGGUGGCGAUAUCUAAUAGAGUUUGGAAUCUGAAUCAUUUGGAACUGACUCUUGGUGGUUCUACCUGUUGGCGAUAUCUAAUAGAGUUUCUCAAGAGAUCACAGAAUCUAGAAUAUCUUGUUAUCAAACAUAUUCUAGACAGUGGAGAACAGAUAGGAUUGAAGCAUUUUAAGCCCUUGGGAUCUGGUGAUACUGGCAGUGGGAGAAAAAAGGGAAAGUAGCAUAUACCCAGCAACAUAUUGAUGAAGUCAGAAACGAGUGGGCAAAAUUUGUUGUUAAAACAUAUAUGUAAGCUUGUGGUUGGGUAUCGACUUAUUUUGGUAACCUUGAUUUUACAAGAUAUAUAGACAAUAUUAUUAUUACUUGCUAGAUUGAGGUUACUUUUGGUUAGAAUUGUUGGAUAUAGAUAUGUACUUUUGGAAAUGUUUUGGAUUGGCAAUGUAAGAACAGAUGGCAUUGAUAUAUGACAAUGUUAUAUUUUGGAUUUGUUCAGGAUA